GAGGGUAUAGCUCAAGAGAUAAGAGCACAUGCUUAGUAUGCACGAGGUCCUGUGUUCAAUUCCCGGUACCUCCU
rnacentral:tRNA from 1 species